AAAUAUAACAUUUCCUUCCUUUCUUUUUACAGAUUUAAGCAUGUACGCAGGUGAGACAAACGGACGUCAGCCACGACGUGAUCAGCGAGUCGGUGUCGGCAUCAUCGGCUUCUCGGCGGGUUUCUUCCUCCACGUGAUCGCCAUGAUGACGCCCUACUGGGUGGUGCUCGACCACUCCAACUACAACGGCCUGUGGUAUGGGUGCAAACUGUAUAGUUUCGAGCAGUACUGUAGAUACAUCCCGACCAGGAACAAUUCUGCUGAGGAGUCGAUGUCGUUGUUGGCGCUAGCAUGUUGUAUUUUCACUUUGAUUGGUAUUGCGCACCACUCUUGGAAACGAAACCGAAAGUCCCUCCUUGUGUUGACUGGAUGCAUACUAUUAUCUGAUUUAAGCAUGUACGCAGGUGAGACAAACGGACGUCAGCCACGACGUGAUCAGCGAGUCGGUGUCGGCAUCAUCGGCUUCUCGGCGGGUUUCUUCCUCCACGUGAUCGCCAUGAUGACGCCCUACUGGGUCGUGGUCGACCACUCCAACUACAACGGCUUGUGGUAUGGGUGCAAAAUGUUUAGUUUUUGAGCAGUACUGUAGAUACAUCCCGACCCUGAACAAUUCUGCUGAGGAGUCGAUGUCGUUGUUGGCGCUUGCAUGUUGUAUUUUCACUUUGAUUGGUAUUGUGCACCACUCUUGGAAACGAAACCGAAAGUCCCUCCUUGUGUUGACUGGGUGCAUACUAUUAUCUGGGGUGUUUGCCCUACUCACGGUCAUCCUGUUUGGAGUCAAGCAUCCAAAAUAUCUGAGUUGGUCGUUCAAACUGGAUUGUGCCUCGGCAGCCAUUUUGCUGCUUUCUGCGGGAAUCUGUCUGUCCGGUAUUGGACAGGAACAGUAUGAGAUGCUCUUAUAGAAACCGAUUAAAAAACGAUUUGUGGACAGAAGCGAUUUAUCGCCAGGGAAGUGAUAUGUGCAUUCGCUAGGAAGCGAUUUAUUGAUCCACAUAUAAUAUGUGUGUGCGUGAAUGUACCUACAUUUACGUGUGUAUAUUUUUGUAAGAGUGUGCGCUUGUGUGCGCUUGUGUGCGUACGUGUGCGUACGUGUGCGUGUGCUGGCGUUGGUAUAAUACCAACCUCUUCCUUCUCUUCAUCAUCAUGAUGAUCAUCGUCAUCCCCAUCAUAAUCAUAAAUAAAAUAUAAGUUUGCAUUGUCA